rnacentral:rRNA from 1 species
CCUACGGGAGGCCGCAGUGAGGAAUAUUGGUCAAUGGGCUUACGCCUGAACCAGCCAAGUCGCGUUAGGUAAGACUGCCCUAUGGGUUGUAAACCUCUUUUGUCAGGGAGCAACGCCGGCUACGUGUAGCCGGACUGAGAGUACCUGAAGAAAAAGCAUCGGCUAACUCCGUGCCAGCAGCCGCGGUAAUACGGAGGAUGCGAGCGUUAUCCGGAUUUAUUGGGUUUAAAGGGUGCGUAGGCGGAAUGCCAAGUCAGCGGUAAAAGCGCGGGGCUCAACCUCGCUCCGCCGUUGAAACUGGCGUUCUUGAGUGGGCGAGAAGUAUGCGGAAGGCGUGGUGUAGCGGUGAAAUGCAUAGAUAUCACGCAGAACUCCGAUUGCGAAGGCAGCAUACCGGCGCCCAACUGACGCUGAAGCACGAAAGCGUGGGUAUCGAACAGGAUUAGAUACCCCUGUAGUC